ensembl:lncRNA
UAUGAAUGUUUAUUAUUAUUUAUUAACAUGUUUGAUUAAAUGCCAGUGUUGAUUUGCAUUUGUUAAUUCAUCAAUCAAUAAAUCAAUCAAUAAAAUGUAAAAGUCCCUUUUACAUCAACAGUUGUCACUAAGAGCUUUACAGUAACCUGGCCUACACCACAAAGAGCUUUACGGUAACCUGGCCUACACCACAAAGAGCUUUACAGUAACCUGGCCUACACCACCAAGAGCUUUACAGUAACCUGGCCUACACCACAAAGAGCUUUACAGUAACCUGGCCUACACCACCAAGAGCUUUACAGUAACCUGGCCUACACCACAAAGAGCUUUACAGUAACCUGGCAUAGACCACCAAGAGCUUUACAGUAACCCAUCAUAGACCACCAAGAGCUUUACAGUAACCCAUCUUAGACCACCAAGAGCUUUACAGUAAUCUAACAGGCUAGAUUAAAAGAAAAGAAAGUUAGAAUACCCAUAAUUUCAUCACUCAACACAACCUCCAAGUUUAAUAAAUGAAAUGCAUCAUUUCAGAAGAGUUUCUGUCCAACACCAUCAAGUAGUCUUUUGUUGGUCAGAAUUGUUAUAAUCAGCAGCCUUCUGAUGAGCAACAAGCAACAGAUCCCACAGUACUCUAGUGGGUCAGGGAGUGACAAGGUUGUUACACUUUGGACAACACAGAGUGUGAUAGCCCCAGAAGUAGAUGCCCACAUAACUAAUCCGCGUGAGAAAAAUAUGCAAAUCCUCAAGAAACCCCAAUCAAGAUAUUCAUUGAUCGACUGAUUGUAGAAGUGUGGUGGUUGUUAUCCCAACUAGCAGAGCGAGGACUGUAAGUGCUACAGGCUGAGCGGAAUUCAUAGCCCUGUUUCUGUUGCAGAGACUUCCCUCACAGCAGGACACAGAACCAGAGUCAGAACCAGAACCGGAACCACACAUACUCCUGGAGACACAGCCUCGAAGAGUCACAGCCUGAUUACAAACCUCAUCUUCUGGAUCAGUGCAAGAAAAACACUCAAGUCCAUUGUGGGGGUUGUCUGGAGAAACAACAGGACAACUCAUGUAAGGAUCAGACAACAAAAGAUAAUCUAAUUCAACAAAGAACAAUGGAGUUCAAAGUUAGGAAGAAUAUUUACCAGAGAAAGUGUCACUGUUGCAGCCAGAUGAAUUGCAGCACGAAGAAGUGAAUUGAUGGAAACCGAUAUUCAAAGACAUUUUGGGGCUUGACUGACAAAAAUGGUCAUCCAUGCAUCCCUUCACGAUCCUCUCAUUGAUACUUGAGUUUGAAACUGAAAGGUAAAAGAUACAAAAUAAAAUGAUUCAUAACAAUGGUAAGAUAGUACUAGAGAAGGUAUACUCAGAGCUGGAUGAGACAAUGCCAAGACUGUGCAAAGCUGUCAUCAAGGCAAAGGGUGGCUACUUUGAAGAAUCUCAAAUAUACAACAUAUUUUGAUUUGUUUAACACUUGUUUGGUUACUACAUGAUUCCAUAUGUGUUAUUUCAUAGUUUUGUUGUCUUCACUAUUAUUCUACCCUUGAAUGAGUAGCUGUGUCCACACAUUUGACUAGUACUGUAAGUAUUCACACCCCUGAGUCCAUACUGUGUAGAAGGACCUUUGGCAGCGAUUAGAGCUGUGAGUAUUUCUGGGUAAGUCUCUAAGAGCUUUCCACACCUGGAUUGUGCAACAUUUGACCAUUAUGUUUUUCAAAAUUAUUCACAUUCUGUCAAAUUGAUUGUUGAUCACUGCUAGAUAACCAUUUUCAGGUCUUGCCAUAGAUUUUCAAGUGGAUUUAAGUCAAAACUGUAACUCGGCCACUCAGGAACACUCACUGUCUUCUUGGUAAGCAACUCCAGUGUAGAUGUGGCCUUGUGUUCUAGGUUAUUGUCCUGCUGAAAGGUGAAUUCAUCUCCCAGUGUCUGGUGGAAAGCAGACUGAACCAGGUUUUGCUCUAGGAUUUUGCCUGUGCUUAUCCUGAAAAACUCCCCAGUCCUUAACAAUUACAAGUGUCAUGACUGGUCUGUUGGGGUCAGGUUACCGUGGACCAUAAUCCUACAGAGACACACCCACCAGCGGGGGAUCGAGAGGUAUGGAAGUGGAGGGUUUUAUUACAUCCAUUGUAAAUCUUAUGGCAGCAGACAAAAUCCCUUUUAUCCUCUCAGUAUGGAGGGAUGGACUGACUAAUGGGCCCACGGAGAAUCUACCUCUGAACAGUAACAUGCAAUUAAUGGACUUAUUUUUCGUCAGCCAAAACGAUAGUAAUGAUGAUAGAUGGAAUAUGAAAAUGAAUGUCAUUUUUGUUAUGUUAUAAAAAGUUAAAUGACAACAUUAUAACAAACAAACAAACAAACAAAAACAUUGUAAUUUGAAGAGUUUUCGCAAGAUAUACCUGAUGUUUGCAUAUUGUACGUUGUGUGGAAAAUGUCCAGAUCAAAGAGAAUGUUUUUGUGAAGAUGAAAUGUGAAGUUAGUUGUCUAAAUUGGAUCUGAGUAAAGUCCAGACCUUGCCUUGUAACUCGUUACGCCCAGAGAACUUGCCCCGAAGGCAGAAAUACCCAUUUCUGACCCAAGGGAAUAAAACACGUGAGUUAAGAACUAGGUGACAACCAAGGUGUGAGUCGUCAGCAACCCCAAAACUUAACACGAGGUUGAAGAAGACAAAGGAACCUUUUAAAAACCUGUGCUAUGGAUGAGUCUAAGAGGGUGAAUUCAAGCAGGACCACCUGGUUAUUAUCUCCAAUGAAUCGUGUGUCUACACUACAUUCAUUCCCACGUUGGAGCCCUGAGCUACACUGCUGGCUGGCUGUCCACAGAAGACCCCUUUCAGAACCAGGGGUGAGGAAACAGACCACUAAGAGAAAGGACACUGACACCGUGAGGACAAACAGAGAGUUACACCCGGUAACGGAAGACGUGCCGUCAUCAGAGAAGUCAGAACCCGGUCCACGAAAAGACACCCCAUCGGAGACCUUCAACACGUAAUGACAUCAUUAUAUUCUGACCCAUACGAGCAGCAGUUCGGGGCAAGGUUAGGGUUAAACUAAGCAUAGUUGACAAAUGCACCCAAGUGUGCUUUUCUCUCAUGCUUCUCUCUCUCUUUUGAAAUCCCCAUUUUGUGUAAAACGUGUCACAUUGUGUUGGCCCGCUAGGGACUGUGUUUGUGUAUCUUAUAUUAUCAUUUCAGCUUGUUAGUAAAUAAGUAAUCAACUCAAUUUGUGUGGUACGGACUUAUUUAGUGGGACUAGGGUUUAUGCAGAUUCCAGGAUUAUGCGACAUUCAGAAUGAGACUAUAGAGGAAACUAAUUAAUUGGUGACUGUUGUGAAAUCGAUAUUCUGAUAUUCUUUGAGUUAAUUUGGGAAAUAGAAACUCAAUAAAGCCAAACUUUCCCAUGGUGCCCCCGGUUAAUGAGUUAAUAAUUGCCUGAUUCAUUUAAUCACGUAAUUAUAAACCGUUAAUCAUUCGAUGAGCAGCAGUCGUCACAUUAAUCAAUACAACGUUACGACACAAGCAUACGCAUAACAUGAUGCAGCCACCACUAUGCUUGAAAAUAUGGAAAGUGAAAUUCAGUAAUAUGUUGUAUUGGAUUUGCCCCAAAAAUUUAACUUUGUAUGCAGGACAAAAAGUGAAUUGCUUUGUACGUUUUUUUACAGUAUUUCUUUAGUGGCAUGUUGCAAAUAGGUUUUGGGUUAUUUUUUUAUUCUGUACAGACUUCCUUCUUUUUACUCUGUCAAUUAGCAACUACAAUGUUGUUAAUCCAUCCUCAGUUUUCUCUUAUCACAGCCAUCAAACUCUGUAACUGUUUGAAAGUCACCAUUGUUACCAGUCACCAUUGGCCUCAUGGUGAAAUCCCUGAGCAGUUUCCUUCCUCUACGGCAACUGAGUUAGGAAGGACACCUGUACCUGGUUGUAUUGAUACACCAUCCAAAGUGUAAUUAAUUACUUCACCAUGCUAAAAGGAAUAUUCAUUGUCUGCUGUUUUACCCAUCUUGUCACGUUCUGACCUUUAUUUCCUGUGUUUUGUAUUUAGUUAGUAUGGUCAGGGCGUGAGUUGGGUGGGCAGUCUAUGUUUGAUUUUCUAUGAUUUGGGGUUUUCUAUGUUUCGGCCUAGUAUGGUUCUCAAUCAGAGGCAGGUGUCAUUAGUUGUCUCUGAUUGAGAAUCAUACUUAGGUAGCCUGGGUUUCACUGUGUGUUUGUGGGUGAUUGUUCCUGUCUUUGUGUUUUGCACCAGAUGGGACUGUUUUGAGUUUUCACAUUUCUUGUUUUUGUUAGUUUGUUCAUGUAAAGGGAUUUAUUAAAACAUGAAUCAAAACAACCACGCUGCGCUUUGGUCCGCCUCUCGUUCAGAUGAAGAAAACCAUUACAGAAUCACCCACCCAACUCGGACCAAGCGGCGUGGUAAACAGCGGCGAUGACAGCAGCAGCAGCGGCAACAACAGCGGCCAGCAUCACAGGACUCCUGGACAUGGGAGGAUGUAUUGGAUGGCAAGGGUUGCUACACCUGGGAGGAGAUCCUGGCGGGAAAGGAUCACCUUCCAUGGGAACAGGUGGAGGCAGCUAGGAGAACAGAGGCAGCUAGGAGAACAGAGGCAGCCGGAGAGAGGAGCCGGCGAUAUGAGGAGGCAGCACGGCAGUGCGACAGGUACGAGAGGCAGCCCCCCAAAAAAAUUUUUGGGGGGGUCAGACGAGGUGUGGUACUAAGCCAGGUAGCAGACCUGAGCUCACUCCUCGUGCUUAUUAUAAGCAGCGCAUUACUGGUCAGGCAUCGUGUUAUGCGGUUAAGCGCACGGUGUCGCCAGUGCGUGCCCAUAGCCCGGUGCGCUAUAGGGCAGCCCCCGAAAGUGCCAUGUGAGUGUGGGCAUUGAGCCAGGGCGUAUGGUGCCUGCUCAGCGGGUCUGGUCGCCGGUACGCAGUUUUGGUCCAGGUUAUCCUGCGCCGGCUCUGCGUGCUGUGUCUCCGGGGCGCUGGGAGGGUGCAGUGCGUCCUCUGCCUGCGCUCCGCUCGUGCCGGGCAAAUGUGGGAGUGGAGCCUAGGGGAGAGAUGCGUGUAGUGAGC